GACGAACGCUGGCGGCGUGCCUAAUACAUGCAAGUUGAGCGCUGAAGGUUGGUACUUGUACCAACUGGAUGAGCAGCGAACGGGUGAGUAACGCGUGGGGAAUCUGCCUUUGAGCGGGGGACAACAUUUGGAAACGAAUGCUAAUACCGCAUAAAAACUUUAAACACAAGUUUUAAGUUUGAAAGAUGCAAUUGCAUCACUCAAAGAUGAUCCCGCGUUGUAUUAGCUAGUUGGUGAGGUAAAGGCUCACCAAGGCGAUGAUACAUAGCCGACCUGAGAGGGGGGUCGGCCACAUUGGGACUGGGACACGGCCCAAACUCCUACGGGAGGCAGCAGGAGGGAAUCUUCGGGAAUGGACGAAAGUCUGACCGAGCAACGCCGCGGGAGGGAAGAAGGUUGUCGGAUCGUAAAACUCUGUUGGUAGGGAAGAACGAUGGUGAGAGUGGAAAGCUCAUCAAGUGACGGUAACUACCCAGAAAGGGACGGCUAACUACGUG
rnacentral:rRNA from 1 species